GUCAUUAUCACAUUAGGCUUCUCAGUUCCCAGGGCCAUGAAGUGCCUGGGAGAGGGCACUGAUUCUCUAAAGCCAUAUCCUGAGUACCAGGCUUCCAGGCUAGCCAGCAAGCAGUGGCUCACAGUCCAUCUGGGUUCCAGAGGCCCCCAAGGUUCCUUUUCCUCUCUCAGGGGUGUGGAAUCAGGCAAGAAAGGGUUAAGUGUUUGGGGAGCAGCUGCACCUGGGGCUCCUUACCCUGCUGGGUAAACAGGUACAAAAGGAGGAGGAAACUAACCUGAGGGAGAAGGUGUGUGUUGCGAAGGGUAUUGGCCAUUCUGGUAGUAUUGCAAAAUAACAAUCAACACCAAAAUAUGAAUAAAAUUGGGGCUGUUUGUUCUAAGGCCCCAAAUCUGCAGUUUUUUUCCCAGGCAAAUUAAACUCUGCUUGGAGUGCACAUGCUGCAUCAGUGAGCUGGCAACCCUGAUUCUACAGCAUAACUUUGAGCAGGACCCUGUGUCUUGGCUUCUUCUGUGGGUACCAGGUGGGUGAGGAAACCUCUUUUAUUCGCUCAACUUCUGUGGGUGAAAGACAAGUGUUUGAGCUACACAGAGCUCUUCAGCUCUGAGAAAGGGCCCAAAUCUCCAGUGGGCGAAGGGGAACAUGUUGGCUUCACACCUGGCAGGUUGUCCUGAUCUCUCCCUCCUUGCCAGCUGUCUCUGUGCAAGAGUCCAGAUCAGCCAGCGAGGUGAGAGGCCGCUCCUUCCCUGAGCCGUUCGGUAAGGCUGUCCCUGGAUGCAAGGCUAUGCCGAGGCCUGAGAGUCAUCUCAUCAGCACAUUAAAAACUCAUCUCACACCGGCCUUAACUCGGGUCGCCGAAUUCUUGUCAGACACUGGAAUUAUUCCACUCCCCCCGUUGAGGAGGGAAGUGGAUAAAGGCGCGCACAGAAAUCACCUCCUUGCAGAGAUGAUAAGGCCAAGGAGACCAAGAGGAGGGAAUCUGGCAGCCAUUCAGGGAAUUUAUUAACAAAAGUCGCAGCCCCGGGAAAGAAGGCACGGAUUCAAUUAACUCAGCAGCGCUGUUCGGAUCCCGCUGUCAGAGCCACUGCUGUGAGU